CCUACGGGAGGCAGCAGUGAGGAAUAUUGGUCAAUGGACGAGAGUCUGAACCAGCCAAGUAGCGUGAAGGAUGACUGCCCUAUGGGUUGUAAACUUCUUUUAUAAAGGAAUAAAACGAGGCACGUGUGCCUUUUUGCAUGUACUUUAUGAAUAAGGAUCGGCUAACUCCGUGCCAGCAGCCGCGGUAAUACGGAGGAUCCGAGCGUUAUCCGGAUUUAUUGGGUGUAAAGGGAGCGUAGAUGGGUUGUUAAGUCAGUUGUGAAAGUUUGCGGCUCAACCGUAAAAUUGCAAUUGAUACUGGCAGUCGUGAGUACAGUUGAGGUAGGCGGAAUUCGUGGUGUAGCGGUGAAAUGCUUAGAUAUCACGAAGAACCCCGAUUGCGAAGGCAGCUUACUAAACUGUGACUGACAUUGAUGCUCGAAAGUGUGGGUAUCAAACAGGAUUAGAUACCCCAGUAGUC
rnacentral:rRNA from 1 species